CCAGCUCCGCUGCCGCCCAGCACGGCCAGCUUUACCUCGGUCAUACCGCCGCCAGGCCGCGCCCCGCCGUCUCCAUUUCUUUAUAGCCGCCGGGGCCGGGCGCGGCCCCUCCGGCGACACCGCCCAGCAGCCCGCCUCCUCCCUGCUCCCCGCGGCGGCUGUCCCCGCCCCGCCGGCGGGGCCGGUAGGUUUCAUCUUCUAUGACAGGAGUCCCCCUCCUCGUCCCCUCCGUCCCCACACCUCGUCCCACACGGCGCAAACUUUCCCCAGGCGGCCUUCCCGCUUCCCGGCCCGGCCUGGCCUCUACUCCCCGGCGGGCGGCCCCUCGCCGCCGCCGCCUCCUCUCGCCCCCAGCGCCGCGCCCCGCCGUUCGCAAAGCGGAAAUAGGACCGAUGUGGAAGGUGAGGCACAAGGAGAUAAACCUGCAGAAGAGGCACCCUGCGACUGCUGCACAUCCGAUUUCGUUGUGAGGCUCCUCAAGUGCACUCUAAUAGUUUAACUCUGAAAGCGCAUCAAAUACUCGGGUGCAUUUAGCUAAUCCACUGGUGAACAGGAGACUGCUCUAGCAUCCAGGUUACACUUGUAUACUUACUCUGUUUGUAUUUAUUGUAUUUGGUUUAUAUAACUUGAAUGUAUUUAUAUAUUCUGAUAUUUUUACUCUCUUCUGAUGGAACUGUUGUGGUUGUAUAAAUGCUUCAAUAAAGCACUGCUUCACUAUGCUUACUAGUGGGUAUUACAGAUACAACAGAUUUACAUGAGCUCAAAAAAAAAGAGGCAGACAAGAUAUUUGAACGUAUAUUACAGCUGAAUGAAGUGGUUAGUGGAGGAAAAGAAGAAUAAAUAUGCCGACACAAUUUGGUUCCAAAGUCCCAGACUUUCAAGUUGCUAAUGGCUGGCAGCUUGUUCAAAAUUAAAUGCUGCAGUGCUGAAUGUUGUACUUGGGAUGUAAAUUGUCCAAACUCUUCAUACUCUUGGCAAAGUUAGAAACAGAAACCAGCUCUCCUGUUCCCAUUACUGGGACUUAACUACAUAAACACUUCUCUCCCCUAAACAGCAGAUGUGAUAGCCAAAUUAGGAUGUUGCCCAUGUUAAGGAAUAUACUUGCGUGGGACUUUUAUUUCUUUUAGUAAUACAAAGAAGUUUCUUAAGAAGACUGAGACAGUUGUGUAUAUUCCGUAUGCACAUUCCUUAAAGUAUUAGAGAAACUAAGUUUUAACUGAAGAUUAAACAACGUGGACAUUUCUUUUCUGAAAGACUGUGUUUCUCUAUCUCUUCCCAGAACUAAAUGGAAUCGAGUAAACUUAUAAUGGAAGGAAUUCCUGAAUAUCCACUCUAAUCUUAUUCCUAAACUUUUCUAUCAAUUUUCUAUUACUGCUGCAUUUGCGUUUUACAACUAUAUAUACAGGGAUAUUUUUUAAUUCCUUCACAAAGGGAGGGCAAAUCUCAAAUUUCUUUUACAUGAACACCCACACAAAACUCAACUGCAAAAAUUGCUCACCCAUCUAAACAAUGCCUUUUUCAACAUUUCAAAUUGCAACAAACACUUUCAUUGAUCAGCUUAUUGAAACGCUUUGAAUAACAUUAAGCUUGAAGGAAGGUAUCAUCUGUUAGAAGAAAUGUUGCAAAGUGAAUGUACAUUAUUAACUAUUUGCCUAGAUUUGGCCUUUUAUAUAAAAGCACGUGGCUGUGGUUGAACAGUGUGGCAGAUGCAGUAAGAUGCCUCUUGAAAUUGCCUCAGUUGUUUACUUUCUUUCCGUGUGAAUGUCCUUACCUGCAACUUGUACAUUCGUCUGUUUCAAUUCCUUCCAGUAAUAAAUCUGUGCUGACCAUCCCUC